rnacentral:rRNA from 1 species
UAGGGAAUCUUCGGCAAUGGACGAAAGUCUGACCGAGCAACGCCGCGUGAGUGAAGAAGGUUUUCGGAUCGUAAAACUCUGUUGUUAGAGAAGAACAAGGACGUUAGUAACUGAACGUCCCCUGACGGUAUCUAACCAGAAAGCCACGGCUAACUACGUGCCAGCAGACGCGGUAAUACGUAGGUGGCAAGCGUUGUCCGGAUUUAUUGGGCGUAAAGCGAGCGCAGGCGGUUUCUUAAGUCUGAUGUGAAAGCCCCCGGCUCAACCGGGGAGGGUCAUUGGAAACUGCGAGACUUGAGUGCAGAAGAGGAGAGUGGAAUUCCAUGUGUAGCGGUGAAAUGCGUAGAUAUAUGGAGGAACACCAGUGGCGAAGGCGGCUCUCUGGUCUGUAACUGACGCUGAGGCUCGAAAGCGUGGGGAGCAAACAGG